ensembl:miRNA
ACCCGUGGACUUCCCUUUGUCAUCCUAUGCCUGAGAAUAUAUGAAGGGGGCUGGGGAGGCAAAGGGACGUUC